UUUCUGAUUGGCCCACAGCAGCCUUGCCAAGAAGAAACCAAGCCCUGAGGAUCUGUAUAAAACAGGCAAUUUGGGUCAAAGCAUCCAUGUGACGCUCAUAUAUCUGGAUGAGAGAGACGGCGAGUGGGACUAUCAUCACCUGGCUACAGAGAGCACCCCUAGUCUGGUAACUACUAAAGUCACUUCCUUUAUGCUCACCCUAUUAACACUUCCUUCAAUGUUCUGUCUAGGGCUGUGAGAUCCAGAAAGAGAAGAAGAACACGGCUGUCAUAACCCCUUGAUUACGCUGAGUUGCCGGCUGACCUUCAGCAAUGAAGAUCCUUUAUCUGCUCUUUGCAGUUUUCCUUCUAGUGCUCCAGGGUGCACCAGCAUUCUCCCAGGUUAAUAAUCCCUACCUGCAAUGUAGACUCCGUGGGGGUAAUUGUUACUUUAGGAGCUGUCUCUUCAAUUCUAAAAUCAUUGGCUUGUGUGCUAGACAUCAUUUCUGCUGUCAAAGGCACCUUUCUGACUGAUUGUCUAGGCAGGAUCUCUGGGAAUCUGGGAGACAGCCACUUGCUUCUAAAAUCAUCAGAUCCUGCUUCAAUGGAACACUGACAUGCUGUUUAUUUGGGCUGUAAAAAAUCUUCUGAGUUGGAGAAAUUCCUGAAGGGAUCCAUUGUAUCACCCAUAUAAGAUUUGUUACUCUCCUUUUAAUAAAAGCAAGUUGGUUUCAGAUAAUAUUGCUGAAGUGUGUAUGGGUGGGAGGCAAGGGGGCUGUUUCUAUCAUUCAUCUCCUUUAGAAUUCCAACUUGUUUAUUUUUUUAAAUUUAAAAUAAAAUAAAAU